rnacentral:rRNA from 1 species
GAAUUUUGGACAAUGGGCGAAAGCCUGAUCCAGCACUGCCGCGUGCAGGAUGAAGGCCUUCGGGUUGUAAACUGCUUUUGUACGGAACGAAAAGCUUUGGGUUCAUACCCUGGAGUCAUGACGGUACCGUACGCAUAAGCACCGGCUAACUACUAUCCAUCAACCGCGGUAAUACGCAGGGUGCAAGCGUUAAUCGGAAUUACUGGGCGUAAAGCGUGGGCAGGCGGUUUUGUAAGACAGAGGUGAAAUCCCCGGGCUCAACCGGGGAACUGCCUUUGUGACUGCAAGGCUAGAGUACGGCAGAGGGGGGUGGAAUUCCGCGUGUAGCAGUGAAAUGCGUAGAUAUGCGGAGGAACACCGAUGGCGAAGGCAACCCCCUGGGCCUGUACUGACGCUCAUGCACGAAAGCGUGGGGAGCAAACA